rnacentral:rRNA from 1 species
CAGCAGCCGCGGUAAUACGAAGGGUGCAAGCGUUAAUCGGAAUUACUGGGCGUAAAGCGUGCGUAGGCGGUGAGUUAAGUCUGCUGUGAAAUCCCCGGGCUCAACCUGGGAAUGGCAGUGGAUACUGGCUCGCUAGAGUGUGUCAGAGGAUGGUGGAAUUCCCGGUGUAGCGGUGAAAUGCGUAGAGAUCGGGAGGAACAUCAGUAGCGAAGGCGGCCAUCUGGGACAACACUGACGCUGAGGCACGAAAGCGUGGGGAGCAAACAGGAUUAGAUACCCGAGUAGUCCCUGUCUCUUAUAA